GGAAGUGACUGACCCAAGGCUCAGAAACGUGCUUUUUCCUGCUUUUCUGAACAUCUCACAGAUUGAAUAACCCUUUCAAUCCUUACUGCUACAGUCUCUCUUUGAACUCUCUGGAGUUUUCCUAAAGGUUUAGACAUUAGGCAUCCAAACUUCUGUCAACAUCCAAAUUUUGCAAGUCUGGUGCCAAUUUAGGCAUUGGUGCCUCACAUGGAUUCUCAGGCCUGCCCAGCAUGAAAAAUACAUCUUGAACAUCCCAAGAAGUGUCCAGUUAAAACAGCAAUCUAUGGAAUUUGGGAGAAAAACUGGCUCUACAGCGAUCUGAAAAGAGACAGCUAUUCUACUAGAAGCCUGAAUACUGGAUACUAUAUGACUUCACUGUUGAAAAGGCUCAUUUGGGAGGAAGGGCAGGACAGAAAUUGAUGAUGACGACAAUGAUGAAGACAUGCUACAAAACAAAUCAACAAAAUCUGUCCAAA